rnacentral:rRNA from 1 species
GACGAACGCUGGCGGCGUGCCUAAUACAUGCAAGUCGAACGAGUGGCGGACGGGUGAGUAAUGCUUGGGAAUCUGGCUUAUGGAGGGGGAUAACUACUGGAAACGGUAGCUAAUACCGCAUACCAUCAGAUGUGCCCAGAUGGGAUUAGCUAGUAGGUGGGGUAACGGUUCACCUAGGCGACGAUCCCUAGCUGGUCUGAGAGGAUGACCAGCCACACUGGAACUGAGACACGGUCCAUACUCCUACGGGAGGCAGCAGUGGGGAAUAUUGCACAAUGGGCGCAAGCCUGAUGCAGCCAUGCCGCGUGUGUGAAGAAGGCCUUCGGGUUGUAAAGCACUUUCAGCGGGGAGGCGUUACCCGCAGAAGAAGCACCGGCUAACUCCGUGCCAGCAGCCACGGUAAUAC